CGUAAAAUGCAAAUUGAUACUGGCAGUCUUGAGUACAGUUGAGGUAGGCGGAAUUCGUGGUGUAGCGGUGAAAUGCUUAGAUAUCACGAAGAACUCCGAUUGCGAAGGCAGCUUACUAACCUGUAACUGACAUUGAUGCUCGAAAGUGUGGGUAUCAAACAGGAUUAGAUACCCUGGUAGUCCACACGGUAAACGAUGAAUACUCGCUGUAGGCGAUAUACGGUCUGCGGCCAAGCGAAAGCAUUAAGUAUUCCACCUGGGGAGUACGCCGGCAACGGUGAAACUCAAAGGAAUUGACGGGGGCCCGCACAAGCGGAGGAACAUGUGGUUUAAUUCGAUGGUACGCGAGGAACCUUACCCGGGCUUAAAUUGCAACCGAAUAUGGCGGAAACGCCAUAGCUAGCAAUAGCGGUUGUGAAGGUGCUGCAUGGUUGUCGUCAGCUCGUGCCGUGAGGUGUCGGCUUAAGUGCCAUAACGAGCGCAACCCUUGCCGAUAGUUACUAACAGGUUAUGCUGAGGACUCUGUCGGGACUGCCAUCGUAAGAUGUGAGGAAGGUGGGGAUGACGUCAAAUCAGCACGGCCCUUACGUCCGGGGCUACACACGUGUUACAAUGGGGGGUACAGAGGGCUGCUACCACGCAAGUGGAUGCCAAUCCCAAAAACCUCUCUCAGUUCGGAUUGAAGUCUGCAACCCGACUUCAUGAAGCUGGAUUCGCUAGUAAUCGCGCAUCAGCCACGGCGCGGUGAAUACGUUCCCGGGCCUUGUACACACCGCCCGUCAAGCCAUGGGAGCCGGGGGUACCUGAAGUGCGUAACCGCAAGGAGCGCCCUAGGGUAAAACUGG
rnacentral:rRNA from 1 species